GACGAACCGUGCGAACGUUGUUCGGAAUCACUGGGCUUAAAGGGCGCGUAGGCGGGCUCGCAAGUCAGGGGUGAAAUCCCACGGCUCAACCGUGGAAGUGCCUUUGAUACUGCGGGCCUGGAGGGAGGUAGGGGCGUGCGGAACUUCCGGUGGAGCGGUGAAAUGCGUAGAUAUCGGAAGGAACACCAGUGGCGAAGGCGGCUACCUGGAUUGAUACUGACACUGAGGCGCGAGAGCGUGGGGAGCAAACAGG
rnacentral:rRNA from 1 species